GAGGAGGUAAUCGAGUGCCUGGCUAGC
rnacentral:sRNA from 1 species